rnacentral:rRNA from 1 species
UACGUAGGGUGCGAGCGUUGUCCGGAUUUACUGGGCGUAAAGAGCUCGUAGGCGGUUUGUCGCGUCGUCUGUGAAAUCCCACAGCUUAACUGUGGGCGUGCAGGCGAUACGGGCAUAACUUGAGUACUGUAGGGGAGACUGGAAUUCCUGGUGUAGCGGUGGAAUGCGCAGAUAUCAGGAGGAACACCGGUGGCGAAGGCGGGAUCCUGGGCCAGUACUGACGCUGAGGAGCGAAAGCGUGGGGAGCAAACAGG